rnacentral:rRNA from 1 species
GCCUACACAUGCAAGUCGAACGGCAGCAUAAGAGAGCUUGCUCUCUUGAUGGCGAGUGGCGGACGGGUGAGUAAUGUAUAGGGAUCUGCCCAGUAGUGGGGGACAACAGCCGGAAACGGCUGCUAAUACCGCAUACGCUCUACGGAGGAAAGCGGGGGACCUUUCGGGGCCUCGCGCUAUUGGAUGAACCUAUAUCAGAUUAGCUAGUUGGUGGGGUAAUGGCCUACCAAGGCAACGAUCUGUAGCUGGUCUGAGAGGAUGAUCAGCCACACUGGGACUGAGACACGGCCCAGACUCCUACGGGAGGCAGCAGUGGGGAAUAUUGCACAAUGGAGGCAGCUCUGAUGCAGCAAUGCCGCGUGUGUGAAGAAGGCCUUAGGGUUGUAAAGCACUUUCAAUGGGGAGGAAAAGCUGUAAGUUAAUACCUUACAGCCGUGACGUUACCUAUAGAAGAAGGACCGGCUAACUCCGUGCCAGCAGCCGCGGUAAUACGGAGGGUCCGAGCGUUAAUCGGAAUUACUGGGCGUAAAGCGCGCGUAGGCGGAUAAAUAAGUCAGAUGUGAAAUCCCCGGGCUCAACCUGGGAACUGCAUUUGAAACUGUAUAUCUAGAGCGUGGUAGAGGUGAGUGGAAUUUCAGGUGUAGCGGUGAAAUGCGUAGAGAUCUGAAGGAACAUCAGUGGCGAAGGCGACUCACUGGGCCAUUACUGACGCUGAGGUGCGAAAGCGUGGGUAGCAAACAGGAUUAGAUACCCUGGUAGUCCACGCCCUAAACGAUGUCAACUAGGUGUGUGAAGAUAUAAUCUUUGCGUAUCGAAGCUAACGCGAUAAGUUGACCGCCUGGGGAGUACGGCCGCAAGGCUAAAACUCAAAUGAAUUGACGGGGGCCCGCACAAGCGGUGGAGCA